AGAAGCCCUUGGUCCUGUGAAGGAUCAUUUCCUCAAUUCUUUCCUCACAGACUGCCUCUCCAUCCCUCCUUCCUCUGCAAAAGUGGGACCUCCCUGGGUAUCCCUCCACCCCGGUGCAUCAAGUCUCUUCAGGACUAGGACACAUCCACUCCAUCAAAGUCCAGACAAGGCAGCCCUGUUGGGAAAUGGAUACUGCAGAUAGCUUUAGGGGAGACUCACAUGGAGACUAACUGCACAUCUGCUACAUAUGUGCCAGCCCCUGUAUGCCCUUUGGUUGGUGGCUCAUUCUCUGAGAAGUCCCAGGUGUCAAGGAUAAAUUUUGGGUUGAAAGCCUUGUGGAUAAAUUGAUGUCUUUACCCUCCCCUGAGGAUCCUACAAGAAGUGGCCUCUUCGGGUUCCAUGUCCUCACUGCGAGGCAUCUUGGCUAAGGUCACUCGCAUUGACUCCUGGGAGCCUGCCCACCCAGGCCUCUGGCACUUCUAGAGACAACUCCGCACCCCCAACCCCUCAGCUGGAGAUUUCCAUUCAUUCUCCUGGCCUUCUGGGCCUUUCUCCUGUC
rnacentral:sRNA from 1 species